CAGACAGGAGUGGAGGAGCUUUGUUGCUGCCCUAACGCUAGAGGCGUAUAGGAACAUGAUGAUGAUGAUGAUGAUGAAGAAAAAUGAGUUUAAGCACAACAGAGAGAACCUUCUCUUCUUCUUAACUGUAGGCCUAAGAUAACAUACUUACCAUGUCUUGCCCAACCAGAACCACACCUGGCAGGAACAAUGCCUUUAUCCAGAGGAAACUAAUCACUGAAGAGGAGGCACGCUAUAAUUCACAUCUGCUAACUACAAACUACCUGCAACUUAUAUGUCAAAUGGUUUAUCAGCACCUCUCAGAAUCUGGCUUCAUGGGCCCACUUCUGCAGUUCUUUCAUGUAUAGACUUUACUUCAGCAUCAACAUUCUUAUAAAUCAGUGGGAUUACUCAUGUGAGUAAGAAUUGCUGGAUCCAGCUCUAUGAGAGCAUUUCUAGCCAACCUGUUUCUCUCCAAAGAUUUAUCAAUCAGAAUGAAUUCAACAGCUCUCUGUACCAAAAUGAAACUUAAAAUUGCUGUUGACUUAUUAAAAAACUGUGUUUAAGUUUAAAUGUGUACUCAGGCAUUAGCAUUCCAAUGCUUUGAACCUUCAAAACCACACAUUUGUCCAUGCAAACUGAUGGAUAUCUGUACCGUGUUUCUUCAUAGAAUAUUGAUCAUUACAAGGGAAUUGUUGCUAAACCCAGCCCCAGCCAGGGAUGCAGAUCCGUUAUUUGCCAAAGGCUUAAAAUUCCAUUCCAAGUGGGUCCAGGUUCACCAAAUCCACUUUCCUACCUUACUGAUGUUGAAAUAUUAGGGAGAAACUACAAUACAUAUAUAAUUAAAGUUUAAGCUGUAUUCUUUGUUACAGAAAGUCUGUUGAAUAAAGAUGAUUUUGCAAUAAAUAGCAGGGAAAAGAUACUGCUCUUUUUCGGAGUUAGAAUUUCAGAAUUCUCAGGGACAACUAAAAAGUGCUGCUACUGGAAAUACAUAGUCAAACUUCGCACUCUCUCUUGUAGGACUAAAUGGAAACUACUUCUUUAGGAUCAAACUCUGCAAAGUCUGAGGCUAUGUCUACACUACAAAAUUAAGUCAAGCUGACUUACAUUGGCAUACAGCCACUCUAGUAAUUACAUCACUUGUGUGUGUCUACGCUUUGUUCCUUUUGUCAGCGGUGCAUAUCCUCAUCAAGAGCACUUGCAUCAAUUGUGCUGUCAGAGUGGGGCACUGGUGGGAUGGCUCCAGAAAGCCAGUAAUGGUCAAUGUAAGCAACGCAGUGUCUACACUGACACAGCAUCAACCAAACUACGUCGAUCUUGACUCUAUGCUGUUCAUGGAGGUGAAGUAUUAAGUUGUCAUAGCGGGCAGUUAUGUUGGUGGGAGCCAAAUUUAAGUGUAGACACUUCUGUAGUUAAAGAUGCCUUGCAUCGAUCUAACUCUGUAGUUUAGACCAGGCCUGAGUUAAGAAUCACUUAAAAAAAAAAAAAAAUUGGAGGCUCUACCAAUGGCUUCUGCGCACUCCCUUGAUGUGGGAGUUUUGGCCAGUAGAUCUGUACAGUCAUGGACAAGCUCUUCUCUACGGGCCUGAUCCAAAGCCCUUUGAAAUUAAUAGAAAGAUGCCCAGUGACUCAGUAGGCUUUGGAUCAGGCUGUAAAUCACUCCUCUAUAAUUCUGUGGCAUGAGUCCCAUGGAGCAUUACUCCAUGACAUACACACAGUUCCUCUGUGUGGCUUCUCCGCAUCCUGCACAGUAAAACUAUGGUGGUAGCACUGCAUAUAGGAAUGUCCACCCUUGUGGAUAGCUGGGCCAGAUUUAGGCCAUAGUGUCCGCUGUGCAUGUAAUAACACAAGUGAACAGGUUAAAAAUACAACUCUAGGAUCUAUGGAUAUUUUUAGAAAUACAUUUAAUUACAAGGAACUUAGCAAAGCAGGGCCCAUGAUUUUUUUUUGAUAAAGGCAGCAGUAAAUUGUAAUCAAUAUUUUCAAAGAGAAUGUAGAAGAGUGUUAUAAAUAUCACAUAAAUGGACUAAACUGAAAGAACAUCUUUUUGCUAUUAGUGUAUUUGUGUUUUUCUAUCUACUGCAUGUGUAUUGCUGGGUUAAUACUUAGGGCAUGCAGGGAAUUCUGUCAAAGUAGUUUCUUAAAUUUAAUAAGCAGGACUGAGCAGUGAAAGAAGAACUAUUUGUAUUUAACUUUUUAUUACCAGAAGCCAUACUCGGCUGCUGAAGAAUCAUUAAAAAGCUGAUCCAAAGCCCAUUGAAGUCAAUGGAGGUGAGAAGGAGGGUAUUUUUCUAGUGACUUCUCUGGAUCAGUCCCCAGGUGCUUGAUCAAUUACCUUCCAAAGAGGUAUUUGUAUUAUGGCGCCUCUGUCUUAACACUAUGCAGCCAGGUUAAUAAAGUCAUGGGCAUUUUGCAAGAUUGGGCUGAUUGUAAACUGCGAAGAAAUAAGGUAAACACAAAGCAAAUUUCACUCGCCUUUUAAGUGUUUCACAUAAGGGUGAACUCCUCCCCCCCCCAUGCUAAUAAAUUAAGGAAAGGAUUAAAUAAUUUUUCAUUUAUCAAAGAAGUGAAACUGCCAUUCAAAGAGAUUUAUAGAAGUAGUGUGGAAAAUAUUAUUCUUAGAAACUGAGGUUUUCUUAGAGCUGGUGAGGGGAUGGGACGAUGUCAAUCCAUAAAAAUGACCAGUCCAACAAUGAAAUUUGCAAAGAAUUGUAAAUUAAUUUGAUUCACAUCUACAAACUCUAUCCUGCAACAUGCUGAGCUCCCUCAGUUCUGUGAAAUCAAUGGUGGCAGUUGAAAGCACUCAGCACUGAUGCAGGAUAAGGCCCACAGAGCUUAAAUACUCACAUCUCCUUUUAAAUUUAAACACAGAUACCUGAAAUAGGUCAAAACAAUGGAUCAGGAUUCUCCAUCUGUAGACUCUUGAAAAAUGAAAAGGAUAAGCGGGUAAGAGAGUUUCUCCAAAUCUGUGUCUCUUGUACUAACUCUGACAUGUGGAAUAGGGGAUGAGAGUGCAGGGAGUGGCUAGAGCAGUGGUUGCCGACCUCUGGGCUAGAGGCAAAUGGAGAAGGUUUUGGAACAAUUUUUAUCGACACUAGAGCAGCUGGAAAGGUUUGAUUCAUAUAGGAUGUUUUGUGAGACAUAGUAGGAUAAGUGACUAUGUAGUCAGAUUCUGUUUUUGCGGGGUUUUUAAAAAAGUGCUUUUUGAAACGCCGAACAUUUUAGUUCAGAGGCUGUGUUUAUUUAAAAAACCAAACUCUUUUGCAAGUUUAUUCUGUGCAACCUAUCAGCUCAGCUUCUGUUUACAGACUUAGGGUCUGCAAAACACUGGUCUCUGGUUUUAUACUUGCAAAGAGCAAGGGAAAAUAAGUGUUUGCACUGGCAACUAUUUGUGUGUGCAAUUAAAGUCAUUUAGAUGUUCAGGUACAUGCUUUCUGGGUGCAGUCAGGUAUUUACAGUAGACAUGACUGACCUACAUUGUGCCAGGUUAAGGCUGGGCUUCAAAUUAGGCCUUUAAGCUGUAGCAUUUAACCAUGAACAUAGAAGUCAUAUUUCAGUGCAGCACAUGCAGUGAUCUUAACGCUUCAAAUAAUCACACAAACUUUCACAGCUUUUUUUAGGCAUGGCUGUACAGUCAAACCUUAUUACUAAGAUGCUGUUGGGACCAGCUAAUUUGGUUCAUUCUGUUUUGGUCACAUAUAUUAUUGUUUACUAAUCAGCAGGGAUUCUGUACUUAACAAAAAAAUUGAAUUUUUUAGUUAAUAUGCAUUUUAAAACAAAAAGUUAGGAAGUGAGCUUUGACUGUAUUUGUCACAGUUUUCCACAAGACACUGCAUUGUGAAAUGAAGAAUGUGCCUCCACUGUGUUUUCUCUCAAGUUUUCUUUCUUUGGCUAUAAAUGAUGAUGGGAGGCAGGUAUUAAAUUUGAUGUACAAAGGAGCUAAUGAAUACAGAUGACAAAAAAUACACCACUGCAGCAGGCUAGACAAUUGUUUUGUAUAAACUUUGUCAUAUUAUUUUAUUUCAAAUAUUCAGCAGUCAGAAUCUUACCAAAUAAUCAUCUUUAUGAAGCAUUGUUUCAGAAGAUGCCUAACCUUAUAAAGGAAAAGUAGAUGACAUUUUUCUGUUGGGAAAUGCUAAAGUAAAACUUAGACUUGAAAGUACUAUCAGAAUUUUCAGCACACUGGCUUUCUAGAAUCAUUGAAUUUAGAGAUAGAAAAAGAUCUGUUAGAUCAUCCAGUGCAUCUCCUUGCUCUAAUGCUAGAGAAUUCUCACAAAGAAGAUAAACAUAGUCCAUGUACAGGGCCCUUGCCUGAACUAUGUCUGUACCCAAAAUGCCUCUCAAGUGUAUUGCUGAGAUUGGAUGGGACUUCAGUGGGAGUUUUAGGGUCUUGAUCCUGCAAAGUCCUGAACACUCAUCAGGUUCUGACUAAGCAUUCCUGCAAGUUGCUGAGAUUGCUUAACUUUAGUUAAAGUUAGUGGGAGUCAAGGUGUUUCAACAGCUUGUAGCAAAGGAAUGCAGGAUCUGGCCCUAGUUGCAUCCUUUUCCUUCGAGCCAGUAUGCAGGGUUGUAUACACUACUUUGUUUAAACAGUAGCACACGUGGAUUUUCAAGUAUUAUUUUUCGAAUAUCAAGCUAGUUAAUAUGUAUGUUUUGCUGUAUUGCCAUCAAUACUGUAAAAAUGUAUAAUCAGUACAGCUUUAAUUCUUGUAAAAUUGAAAUUGGUUUGUAAAACAAUGUAUAAAUUGUGUUUCAGAGACAGAAAAGCUUGUAUUACUGAAUAUGUAAUAUAUGUGAAAUGAAUAUAUCAUAGUCUAUUUUUGCCAUGGAAAUAAAUAUUUGAAGC